GUGCCAGCCGCGCGGUAAUACCGGCAGCCCGAGUGAUGGCCGAUCUUAUUGGGCCUAAAGCGUCCGUAGCUGGCUGCGCAAGUCUGUCGGGAAAUCCACUCGCCCAACGAGUGGGCGUCCGACGGAAACUGCACAGCUUGGGACCGGAAGGCUCGAAGGGUACGUUCGGGGUAGAAGUGAAAUCCCAUAAUCCCGCACGGACCACCGAUGGCGAAAGCACUUCGAGAAAACGGAUCCGACGGUGAGGGACGAAAGCUAAGGUCGCGAACCGGAUUAGAAACCCAGGUAGUCC
rnacentral:rRNA from 1 species